rnacentral:rRNA from 1 species
AAGACCUUGCGCUUUUGGAGCGGCCGAUGUCUGAUUAGCUAGUUGGUGGGGUAAUGGCUUACCAAGGCUUCGAUCAGUAGUUGGUCUGAGAGGACGACCAGCCACACUGGGACUGAGACACGGCCCAGACUCCUACGGGAGGCAGCAGUGGGGAAUUUUGGACAAUGGGGGCAACCCUGAUCCAGCCAUGCCGCGUGAGUGAAGAAGGCCUUCGGGUUGUAAAGCUCUUUCAGCCGGGAAGAAAAGGUCACGACUAAUACUCGUGAUCCAUGACGGUACCGAAAGAAGAAGCACCGGCUAACUACGUGCCAGCAGCCGCGGUAAUACGUAGGGUGCGAGCGUUAAUCGGAAUUACUGGGCGUAAAGGGUGCGCAGGCGGUUUUGUAAGUCAGAUGUGAAAUCCCCGGGCUUAACCUGGGAACU